AUUGAACGCUGGCGGCAGGCCUAACACAUGCAAGUCGAGCGGAUGAAGGGAGCUUGCUCCUGGAUUCAGCGGCGGACGGGUGAGUAAUGCCUAGGAAUCUGCCUGGUAGUGGGGGAUAACGUCCGGAAACGGGCGCUAAUACCGCAUACGUCCUGAGGGAGAAAGUGGGGGAUCUUCGGACCUCACGCUAUCAGAUGAGCCUAGGUCGGAUUAGCUAGUUGGUGGGGUAAGGGCCUACCAAGGCGACGAUCCGUAACUGGUCUGAGAGGAUGAUCAGUCACACUGGAACUGAGACACGGUCCAGACUCCUACGGGAGGCAGCAGUGGGGAAUAUUGGACAAUGGGCGAAAGCCUGAUCCAGCCAUGCCGCGUGUGUGAAGAAGGUCUUCGGAUUGUAAAGCACUUUAAGUUGGGAGGAAGGGCAGUAAGUUAAUACCUUGCUGUUUUGACGUUACCAACAGAAUGAGCACCGGCUAACUUCGUG
rnacentral:rRNA from 1 species